AAAGAAAACUGGAUUUUUCUUUUUUCUUUUUUAUCUUUUUCUGGAAUCAACCAUAAGAAAAAUGAAAAGAGUAAAAAAAUAUCAAACUCCAAAGCCAAACCCCAAUUUUUUUCUCCCCCUUUUCUGUCCGAAAAUCCCCUAUAUAUAGGGAUCCUAGAAGCUUCUUCUCCUAAAAAUUCGAAAAUUAUCUCUCAAAAUAACUUCCAAGAACACUGAAAAAUCCCGAAAAUCUUCAUAAAACAAAAAUCGAAAAAAUGAAAGGCGUGGAUCGGCUUUCACUCACAUCCAACCGCUCCCAUUUAUCCGAGAUUUGUUCAAACAAACUAAAGCGCGUGAGGGAGAAGGCGGAUUCGAUUUGGGUGAAAUCAUUAGCGAAUAUCCUGAGUUUGCUAUCAUUGCUAUGCGGAAGAAGGAGAAGAGAGGGGGGGGGGACCAUGGGGUGAUCACUGGGUGAACUCGCCGGGUUUGGGCGAGUUCCGGCGAGUUUGGAGGCGGGCAACGAUAAGGGUUGCGGCUGG
rnacentral:lncRNA from 1 species